GUAAACAUAGUUUAAUCAAAACAUUAGACUGUGAAUCUAACCAUAGAAGCCUAUCACUUCUUGUUUACC
rnacentral:tRNA from 1 species